rnacentral:rRNA from 1 species
GACGAACGCUGGCGGCGUGCUUAACACAUGCAAGUCGAACGGAAAGGCCCUGCUUUUGUGGGGUGCUCGAGUGGCGAAAGGGUGAGUAACACGUGAGUAACCUGCCCUUGACUUUGGGAUAACUUCAGGAAACUGGGGCUAAUACCGGAUAGGAGCUCCUGCUGCAUGGUGGGGGUUGGAAAGUUUCGGCGGUUGGGGAUGGACUCGCGGCUUAUCAGCUUGUUGGUGGGGUAGUGGCUUACCAAGGCUUUGACGGGUAGCCGGCCUGAGAGGGUGACCGGCCACAUUGGGACUGAGGUACGGCCCAGACUCCUACGGGAGGCAGCAGUGGGGAAUAUUGCACAAUGGGCGGAAGCCUGAUGCAGCAACGCCGCGUGCGGGAUGACGGCCUUCGGGUUGUAAACCGCUUUCGCCUGUGACGAAGCGUGAGUGACGGUAAUGGGUAAAGAAGCACCGGCUAACUACGUG